rnacentral:piRNA from 1 species
UNGGUGAUCUGGAUACUCAAGGACUUGGGA